GAUGAACGCUGGCGGCGUGCCUAAUACAUGCAAGUCGAACGCUGAAGGAAGGAGCUUGCUCUUUCCGGAUGAGUUGCGAACGGGUGAGUAACGCGUAGGUAACCUGCCUGGUAGCGGGGGAUAACUAUUGGAAACGAUAGCUAAUACCGCAUAACAGUAGAUGUUGCAUGAUAUCUACUUAAAAGGUGCAAUUGCACCACUACCAGAUGGACCUGCGUUGUAUUAGCUAGUUGGUGAGGUAACGGCUCACCAAGGCGACGAUACAUAGCCGACCUGAGAGGGUGAUCGGCCACACUGGGACUGAGACACGGCCCAGACUCCUACGGGAGGCAGCAGUAGGGAAGCUUCGGCAAUGGACGGAAGUCUGACCGAGCAACGCCGCGUGAGUGAAGAAGGGUGUCGGAUCGUAAAGCUCUGUUGUAAGAGAAGAACGAGUGUGAGAGUGGAAAGUUCACACUGUGACGGUAUCUUACCAGAAAGGGACGGCUAACUACGUG
rnacentral:rRNA from 1 species